UACAGAGGUCCCGAGCGUUGUUCGGAUUCACUGGGCGUAAAGGGUGCGUAGGUGGCCAUGAAAGUUUGAUGUGAAAUCUCCGGGCUUAACCCGGAAAAUGCAUUGAAUACUCUGUGGCUGGAGGUUUGGAGGGGGGACUGGAAUUCUCGGUGUAGCAGUGAAAUGCGUAGAUAUCAGGAGGAACACCGGUGGCGAAGGCGGGUCUCUGGGCCGAUACUGACGCUGAGGAGCGAAAGCGUGGGGAGCGAACAGG
rnacentral:rRNA from 1 species